UACGUAGGGGGCUAGCGUUGUUCGGAAUUACUGGGCGUAAAGCGCACGUAGGCGGAUAUUUAAGUCAGGGGUGAAAUCCCAGAGCUCAACUCUGGAACUGCCUUUGAUACUGGGUAUCUUGAGUAUGGAAGAGGUAAGUGGAAUUGCGAGUGUAGAGGUGAAAUUCGUAGAUAUUCGCAGGAACACCAGUGGCGAAGGCGGCUUACUGGUCCAUAACUGACGCUGAGGUGCGAAAGCGUGGGGAGCAAACAGG
rnacentral:rRNA from 1 species